GUGCUCGCUUAGACAACAUAUGUACUAAAAUUGGAACGAUACAGAGAUUAGCAUGACCGCUGCACAAGUAUGACAUGCAAAUUUGUGAAGUGUUCCAUAUUUAG